GACGAAAGUAAGACUAAUACCCAAUGAUAUCUCUAGAAGACAUCUGAAGGAGAUUAAAGAUUUAUCGGUGAUGGAUGGGGAUGCGUCUGAUUAGCUUUGUUUGGCGGGGGUUAACGGCCCACCAAGGCAACGAUCAGUAGGGGUUCUGAGAGGAAGGGUCCCCCACAUUGGAACUGAGACACGGUCCAAACUCCUACGGGAGGCAGCAGUGAGGAAUAUUGGUCAAUGGGCGAGAGCCUGAACCAGCCAAGUAGCGUGCAGGAUGACGGCCCUAUGGGUUGUAAACUGCUUUUAUAAGGGAAUAAAGUGAGUCUCGUGAGACUUUUUGCAUGUACCUUAUGAAUAAGGACCGGCUAAUUCCGUG
rnacentral:rRNA from 1 species